GCGAACCGAGUGAAAAGACUA
rnacentral:miRNA from 1 species